rnacentral:rRNA from 1 species
UACCAGCACCCCGAGUGGUCGGGACGUUUAUUGGGCCUAAAGCAUCCGUAGCCGGUUCUACAAGUCUUCCGUUAAAUCCAGCUGCUUAACAGAUGGGCUGCGGAAGAUACUAUGGAGCUAGGAGGCGGGAGAGGCAAGCGGUACUCGAUGGGUAGGGGUAAAAUCCGUUGAUCCAUUGAAGACCACCAGUGGCGAAGGCGGCUUGCCAGAACGCGCUCGACGGUGAGGGAUGAAAGCUGGGGGAGCAAACCAGG